rnacentral:rRNA from 1 species
GUGCCAGCAGCCGCGGUAAUACGAAUGGGGCAAGCGUUGUUCGGAUUUACUGGGCGUAAAGCGGGCGUAGGCGGCCGGCUAAGUCGGAUGUGAAAUCCCGGGGCUCAACUCCGGAACUGCAUUCGAUACUGGUCGGCUAGAGUUCGAGAGGGGGAUGCGGAAUUCCGCGUGUAGCAGUGAAAUGCGUAGAUAUGCGGAGGAACACCUGAGGCGAAGGCGGCAUCCUGGAUCGACACUGACGCUGAGGCCCGAAAGCGUGGGGAGCAAACAGGAUUAGAUACCCUGGUAGUCCACGCCCUAAACGAUGUCUACUAGCCGUUGCGGGUAUCGACCCCUGCAGUGGCGCAGCUAACGCGUUAAGCAUCCCGCCUGGGGAGUACGGCCGCAAGGUUGAAACUCAAAUGAAUUGACGGGG